UACGGAGGGUGCGAGCGUUGCUCGGAAUCACUGGGCGUAAAGCGUACGCAGGCUGUUUCGUAAGUCGGGUGUGAAAGCCCGGGGCUCAACCCCGGAAUUGCGCCCGAGACUGCGGAGCUUGAAUGCGGGAGAGGGAAGCGGAAUUCCUGGUGUAGAGGUGAAAUUCGUAGAUAUCAGGAGGAACACCGGUGGCGAAAGCGGCUUCCUGGCCCGACAUUGACGCUCAUGUACGAGAGCGUGGGGAGCAAACAGGAUUAGAUACCCUGGUAGUCCACGCUGUAAACGAUGAGUGCUAGCUGCUGGGAAUGUCUACCGUCUCAGUGGCGAAGCUAACGCAUUAAGCACUCCGCCUGGGAAGUACGGCCGCAAGGCUAAA
rnacentral:rRNA from 1 species